AGUGAACGCUGGCGGCGUGCUUAACACAUGCAAGUCGAACGAGAACGGGCCUAGCUUGCUAGGCUGUCAGCUAAGUGGCGGACGGGUGAGUAAUGUAUAGCUAAUGUGCCCCUUAGAGAGGGAUAACAGUUGGAAACGACUGCUAAUACCUCAUACUCCUUCUACCUUAAUGGUAGUUGGGAAAUGUUUUUUCGCUAAGGGAUCGGGCUAUAUGGUAUCAGGUAGUUGGUGGGGUAAGAGCCUACCAAGCCAAUGACGCCUAGCUGGUCUGAGAGGAUGAUCAGCCACACUGGAACUGAGACACGGUCCAGACUCCUACGGGAGGCAGCAGUGGGGAAUAUUGCACAAUGGGGGAAACCCUGAUGCAGCAACGCCGCGUGGAGGAUGACGCAUUUCGGUGUGUAAACUCCUUUUAUAUAGGAAGAUAAUGACGGUACUAUAUGAAUAAGCACCGGCUAACUCCG
rnacentral:rRNA from 1 species